UAGGGAAUCUUCGGCAAUGGACGAAAGUCUGACCGCGCAACGCCGCGUGAGUGAAGAAGGUUUUCGGAUCGUAAAACUCUGUUGUUAGAGAAGAACAAGGACGUUAGUAACUGAACGUCCCCUGACGGUAUCUAACCAGAAAGCCACGGCUAACUACGUGCCAGCAGCCGCGGUAAUACGGAGGGUGCAAGCGUUAAUCGGAAUUACUGGGCGUAAAGCGCACGCAGGCGGUUUGUUAAGUCAGAUGUGAAAUCCCCGGGCUCAACCUGGGAACUGCAUCUGAUACUGGGAAGGUUGAGAGUAGUAGAGGGGGGUAGAAUUCCAGGUGUAGAGGUGAAAAGCGUAGAGAUCUGGAGGAAAACCGGGGGGGAAGGCGGCCCCCUGGACGAAGACAGACGCUCAGGUGCGAAAGCGUGGGGAGAAAAAAGG
rnacentral:rRNA from 1 species